UUACAUUGUUAUUUCCACACCAUAUUGGGCUUUCACAAUACAAGCGUUAUGGUCCUUACUUUUUAAAAGAAAGCAUUGCAUGCCAAAGUUUAGCAAAAUAGGAUAUUUAAUAUUUGCUUUCAUGGGAAUGUCUGAGCCUAUUGCAAUUGUUCUUCUUAUGGUUUUGGUAUUUCCUUACAUGGACACACUCAGUUCAUGUGUUUUAAUCAGCUCACUACACAUAUUUGCAAUUGCUUUCAAACCAGAAGAAAGAACUCAAGCACCACCCGAACCACCUCAGAAUUCAGCACUAGAUCUACAAGGCAUUAAUAAUUC